rnacentral:rRNA from 1 species
UACAGAGGUCCCAAGCGUUGUUCGGAUUCACUGGGCGUAAAGGGUGCGUAGGCGGUCGGGUAAGUCUGAUGUGAAAUCUCACAGCUUAACUGUGAAACUGCAUUGGAUACUAUCCGGCUCGAGGAAUGGAGGGGAGACUGGAAUACUUGGUGUAGCAGUGAAAUGCGUAGAUAUCAAGUGGAACACCGGUGGCGAAGGCGAGUCUCUGGACAUUUCCUGACGCUGAGGCACGAAAGCCAGGGGAGCAAACGGG